rnacentral:rRNA from 1 species
GGUCCAGCCUGCCCAGUGACAUAGUUAAACGGCCGCGGUACCCUGACCGUGCGAAGGUAGCAUAAUCACUUGUUCUUUAAAUGGGGACUCGUAUCAACGGCAUCACGAGGGCUUUACUGUCUCCUUUCUCCAAUCAGUGAAACUGAUCUCCCCGUGAAGAAGCGGGGAUGACAAUAUAAGACGAGAAGACCCCAUGGAGCUUUAAACCCAACGACACCCCUCAACCCCCCAACCCAUUAUAGUUGCUACAGCCCUGUUCGUUGGUUUUAGGUUGGGGUGACCGCGGAGUAUAAAUUACCCUCCACGACGAAUGGGACUACCCCCUUACCCAAGAGCUACUCCUCUAAGGAUCAACAGAUUGACGUAAAAUGAUCCAAGCAUUUGAUCAACGGACCAAGUUACCCUGGGGAUAACAGCGCAAUCCAUUUCAAGAGCUCCUAUCGACAAAUGGGUUUACGACCUCGAUGUUGGAUCAGGGUACCCAAGUGGUGCAGCCGCUACUAAUGGUUUGUUUGUUCAACAAUUAAAACCCU